AGUGAACGCUCGCGGUAGGCCUAACACAUGCAAGUCGAACGGCAGCACAGGAGAGCUUGCUCUCUGGGUGGCGAGUGGCGGACGGGUGAGGAAUACAUCGGAAUCUACUCUGUCGUGGGGGAUAACGUAGGGAAACUUACGCUAAUACCGCAUACGACCUACGGGUGAAAGCAGGGGACCUUCGGGCCUUGCGCGAUUGAAUGAGCCGAUGUCGGAUUAGCUAGUUGGCGGGGUAAAGGCCCACCAAGGCGACGAUCCGUAGCUGGUCUGAGAGGAUGAUCAGCCACACUGGAACUGAGACACGGUCCAGACUCCUACGGGAGGCAGCAGUGGGGAAUAUUGGACAAUGGGCGCAAGCCUGAUCCAGCCAUACCGCGUGGGUGAAGAAGGCCUUCGGGUUGUAAAUCCCUUUUGUUGGGAAAGAAAUCCAGCUGGCUAAUACCCGGUUGGGACGACGGUACCCAAAGAAUAAGCACCGGCUAACUUCGUGCCAGCCGCCGCCGUAA
rnacentral:rRNA from 1 species